rnacentral:rRNA from 1 species
GAGUUUGAUCCUGGCUCAGAGCGAACGCUGGCGGCAGGCCUAACACAUGCAAGUCGAGCGCCCAGCGAUGGGAGCGGCAGACGGGAUAGUAACACGUGGGAACGUACCUUUCAGUUCGGAACAACCAAGGGAAACUUUGGCUAAUACCGGAUACGCCCUUACGGGGAAAGAUUUAUCGCGGAAAGAUCGGCCCGCGUCUGAUUAGCUAGUUGGUGGGGUAAUGGCCCACCAAGGCGACGAUCAGUAGCUGGUCUGAGAGGAUGAUCAGCAUCACUGGGACUGAGACACGGCCCAGACUCCUACGAGAGGCAGCAGUGGGGAAUAUUGGACAAUGGGCGCAAGCCUGAUCCAGCCAUGCCGCGUGGAUGAUGAAGGCCCUAGGGUUGUAAAGUCCUUUCGACGGGGAAGAUAAUGACGGUACCCGUAGAAGAAGCCCCGGCUAACUUCGUGCCAGCAGCCGCGGUAAUACGAAGGGGGCUAGCGUUGCUCGGAAUCACUGGGCGUAAAGCGCACGUAGGCGGACUCUUAAGUCGGGGGUGAAAUCCUGGAGCUCAACUCCAGAACUGCCUUCGAUACUGAGAGUCUUGAGUCCGGGAGAGGUGAGUGGAACUGCGAGUGUAGAGGUGAAAUUCGUAGAUAUUCGCAAGAACACCAGUGGCGAAGGCGGCUCACUGGCCCGGUACUGACGCUGAGGUGCGAAAGCGUGGGGAGCAAACAGGAUUAGAUACCCUGGUAGUCCACGCCGGAAACGAUGGAUGCUAGCCGUUGGCCAGCUUGCUGGUCAGUGGCGCAGCUAACGCAUUAAG